AACGAACGCUGGCGGCAGGCUUAACACAUGCAAGUCGAGCGCCCCGCAAGGGGAGCGGCAGACGGGUGAGUAACGCGUGGGAAUCUACCCAUCUCUACGGAAUAACUCAGGGAAACUUGUGCUAAUACCGUAUACGCCCUUCGGGGGAAAGAUUUAUCGGGGAUGGAUGAGCCCGCGUUGGAUUAGCUAGUUGGUGGGGUAAUGGCCUACCAAGGCGACGAUCCAUAGCUGGUCUGAGAGGAUGAUCAGCCACACUGGGACUGAGACACGGCCCAGACUCCUACGGGAGGCAGCAGUGGGGAAUAUUGGACAAUGGGCGCAAGCCUGAUCCAGCCAUGCCGCGUGAGUGAUGAAGGCCCUAGGGUUGUAAAGCUCUUUCACCGGUGAAGAUAAUGACGGUAACCGGAGAAGAAGCCCCGGCUAACUUCGUGCCAGCCGCCGCCGUAAAAC
rnacentral:rRNA from 1 species